GUUGGGGACCAAUGCCCAAAAUCCACCAGAUCCCAUCUGAUCUUGGAAGAUAAGAAGGGUUAGCUCUGACUGCUACUUGGAUGAGAGACCAUAACUGAAGAUCAGAAGCAGUAGGCU
rnacentral:rRNA from 1 species